GGUCCUACUAUUAAGAGUUCUUAAACCGAAGACAUCAACUGCAGGAGACAGUCGGCUCUACACUGGAAUACGCCUGAUAGGCCCCACUGGUCCAGAACAGCUUCUUGGCGAUUUCUUGCAGAGGACAGUGUGACUGAUAGGAACCUGCCAGCAGCUUCGGCAGCAGCGGCGGCAGCACCGCCACAAGGAGUCGUUUCCGUGGCAACCAGGAAGCUCAGAGGGAGGACGAGCUCUAAUGGGCGGUUGAGAGAAACCUGUGUCGUCACUGCUGACAGGUUCUGUCCCUUUAAGAUCCUCAUCAGCCAAAGUGGGUGAUCCACUUUCUUAAUCCACAGGCUCAGAUUGGAUCUGAGUCGAUUUCCAGCCUCAGUCAAACUGCCGAGGCCCCUGUGAGCUUUGACCCGGGACGAGGACGCGGGCACUCGGGCGGACGCCUUACAUGAGGAGUGCGCGCACCGUCGUGUCCGCCCCUCACGUGGGGUCAUGUUACAUCACCGUAAAGCCUUCCUCUCACAUGAAUGAGAGGAUGAAGAGUGGCCUGAUGUCAUUAGCGCACAGCUUUAAUGAGAGAGUCUGG